rnacentral:rRNA from 1 species
UCAAAGAUUUAUCGCUUAGAGAUGGACUCGCGUCCGAUUAGUUAGUUGGUGAGGUAACGGCUCACCAAGACCGCGAUCGGUAGCCGGUCUGAGAGGUUGAACGGCCACAUUGGGACUGAGACACGGCCCAGACUCCUACGGGAGGCAGCAGUGGGGGAUAUUGCGCAAUGGGGGAAACCCUGACGCAGCAACGCCGCGUGAAGGAUGAAGGUCUUCGGAUUGUAAACUUCUUUUAUUAAGGACGAAGAAAGUGACGGUACUUAAUGAAUAAGCUCCGGCUAACUACGUGCCAGCAGCCGCGGUAAUACGUAGGGAGCAAGCGUUGUCCGGAUUUACUGGGUGUAAAGGGUGCGUAGGCGGCUUUGCAAGUCAGAUGUGAAAUCUAUGGGCUCAACCCAUAGCCUGCAUUUGAAACUGCAGAGCUUGAGUGAAGUAGAGGCAGGCGGAAUUCCCCGUGUAGCGGUGAAAUGCGUAGAGAUGGGGAGGAACACCAGUGGCGAAGGCGGCCUGCUGGGCUUUAACUGACGCUGAGGCACGAAAGCGUGGG